AGUGAACGCUGGCGGUAGGCCUAACACAUGCAAGUCGAACGGCAGCACAGUAAGAGCUUGCUCUUACGGGUGGCGAGUGGCGGACGGGUGAGGAAUAUAUCGGAAUCUACUUUUUCGUGGGGGAUAACGUAGGGAAACUUACGCUAAUACCGCAUACGACCUACGGGUGAAAGCAGGGGAUCUUCGGACCUUGCGCGAUUGAAUGAGCCGAUGUCGGAUUAGAUAGUUGGCGGGGUAAAGGCCCACCAAGGCGACGAUCCGUAGCUGGUCUGAGAGGAUGAUCAGCCACACUAGAGGUGAGACACGCUCCAGACUCCUGAGGGAGGCCGCAGUGGGGAAUAUUGGGCAAUGGGGGGAAACCUGGUCCAGCCAUACCGCGUGGGUGAAGAAGGCCUUCGGGUUGUAAAGCCCUUUUGUUGGGAAAGAAAAGCAGCAGGUUAAUACCCAGCUGUUCUGACGGUACCCAAAGAAUAAGCACCGGCUAACUUCGUG
rnacentral:rRNA from 1 species